rnacentral:lncRNA from 1 species
CACGUAAGGUUUCUUGAGAUAAAGAAUUAAUUUAUUUGCAAAGUAUUAUAUUUUUCUUAGAUAAAAGCAAAUGGGUUAGUAAUAUUAAAGUAUUUUUUGAUAUAAUUGAGUAAAUCAGUAAUGUUGGCCGCCCUGAUUCGUCAACACAUGGCCUUUCCGAAGCUGACGAACUUUGCGCACUGUACAAUAUUCUUAUUUCUAUUUAUUUUUCCGAAAGUUUUCCUUAUUGUAACUAUUUAACACGAUGAUUUAGACUAAUUUACCCUAAAAUUUGUAUGUACGAUGAAGUUUGCCUCUAUCUUUUAAGAUUCCUUCAUUCGGGUUAGCUUUUGGCAGGAGGACGGACUAUAUAAUGAGGUGAUUCACCACCGGCGCGCAGUAGUCAUUGAGACACAGAGGGAGUAGGUGCUGCCGGUCGUCUUUCUCACCUGACCGGUGCUGUUUUUUAAAUCCAUAUUGGUUGUUACUGUUGUGUUAAAGGCCAGUUUGCUGCCUCAGUGGUCGUCAGUGUGGACAGUACAGCAGCUUAUUUAUUGGGGAUGAUGACUUGAAGAUGGAGGAUGCAAGAAAUGAUAGUUUUAUUCUGAUGAACUCUCCCUGCACUGCACCAAAAAAUGUCAGGUUCUGGACCUUAUUAAGGAGAGGUGUGCACUCUGCUGUACCACUCAUCUUGUACUGCUGUACCAGGAUGGCAAAUGAUUCACAACACAUCUAAAGGAAGCAAGUGCCAAGAUACAGCCCAGACCCAGCCUUCCACCCCUCCUCUCUACCUCAGUAUUGUUCUGAACACUGGAGUGCUGUGCUGCCCUAGGCUGUGCUUACUGGCCACUGCCCUGUACUUGCUGCUGCCCUAGACUUCCCUGUACUUGCUUGCUACUGCCCUGGACUGCUCUGCUCUGUGUAUGCUGGCUGCUGCCCUGGACGG